rnacentral:rRNA from 1 species
CGCAGCCGCGGUAAAACGUAGGUGGCAAGCGUUGUCCGGAAUUAUUGGGCGUAAAGGGCUCGCAGGCGGUUUCUUAAGUCUGAUGUGAAAGCCCCCGGCUCAACCGGGGAGGGUCAUUGGAAACUGGGAAACUUGAGUGCAGAAGAGGAGAGUGGAAUUCCACGUGUAGCGGUGAAAUGCGUAGAGAUGUGGAGGAACGCCAGUGGCGAAGGCGACUCUCUGGUCUGUAGCUGACGCUGAGGAGCGAAAGCAUGGGGAGCGAACUGGAUUAGAUACCCCCGUAGUCCCUGUCUCUUAUACA